AUAUUACCGAAGCUGUGGAUUGUCCUUUGGACAAUGGUAGGAGAGCGUUCUAAGGGCGUUGAAGCAUGAUCGUAAGGACAUGUGGAGCGCUUAGAAGUGAGAAUGCCGGUGUGAGUAGCGAAAGACGGGUGAGAAUCCCGUCCACCGAUUGACUAAGGUUUCCAGAGGAAGGCUCGUCCGCUCUGGGUUAGUCGGGUCCUAAGCUGAGGCCGACAGGCGUAGGCGAUGGAUAACAGGUUGAUAUUCCUGUACCACCUAUAAUCGUUUUAAUCGAUGGGGGGACGCAGUAGGAUA
rnacentral:rRNA from 1 species